UGGAUCCAGACUUUGAUUAUGGCUCAGGAUGAACGCUAGCUACAGGCUUAACACAUGCAAGUCGAGGGGCAGCGAUGAAGAAAGCUUGCUUUCUUCAGGCGGCGACCGGCGCACGGGUGAGUAACGCGUAUCGAACCUGCCUCAUACUCAGGAAUAGCCUUGCGAAAGUAAGAUUAAUGCCCGAUGUUAUUAGGAUAUCACAUGAUAUUUUAAUUAAAGAUUUAUCGGUAUGAGAUGGCGAUGCGUCCCAUUAGCUUGUUGGCGGGGUAACGGCCCACCAAGGCAUCGAUGGGUAGGGGUUCUGAGAGGAAGGUCCCCCACAUUGGAACUGAGACACGGUCCAAACUCCUACGGGAGGCAGCAGUGAGGAAUAUUGGUCAAUGGACGCAAGUCUGAACCAGCCAAGUAGCGUGCAGGAAGACGGCCCUCUGGGUUGUAAACUGCUUUUAGUUGGGAAUAAAGUGCAUCACGUGUGAUGUUUUGUAUGUACCAUCAGAAAAAGGACCGGCUAAUUCCGUGCCAGCAGCCGCGGUAAUACGGAAGGUCCAGGCGUUAUCCGGAUUUAUUGGGUUUAAAGGGAGCGCAGGCGGACCUUUAAGUCAGCUGUGAAAUACGGCGGCUCAACCGUCGAACUGCAGUUGAUACUGGAGGUCUUGAGUGCACACAGGGAUACUGGGAUUCAUGGUGUAGCGGUGAAAUGCUCAGAUAUCAUGAAGAACUCCGACCGCGAAGGCAGGUAUCCGGGGUGCAACUGACGCUGAGGCUCGAAAGUGCGGGUAUCAAACAGGAUUAGAUACCCUGGUAGUCCGCACAGUAAACGAUGAAUACUCGCGAUUUGCGAUACACAGUAAGUCGCCAAGCGAAAGCGUUAAGUAUUCCACCUGGGGAGUACGCCGGCAACGGUGCAACUCAAAGGAAUUGAC
rnacentral:rRNA from 2 species